rfam:Camelus ferus unplaced genomic scaffold scaffold655, whole genome shotgun sequence.
GAGGGGAUAUCUCAGUGGUAGAGUGCCUGCCUAGCAUUCACAAGGUCCUGGGUUCAAUCCCCAGUACCUCCA